CGUUUUUACCCCCUUGGUGUGUUUGAAGCGAGAAAACGUAAAGAAGACAAACAUUUGGUUCUCCCCCCCCCCCUUGCCCUUUCUCCAUGGCUGUGUAGUAGAAGAAAGGGGGAAGGAGAGACUUUUUGUUGUUGUUUCUUUGGCCGGGGUCUCCACCCUCCUGCUGCCUUCUCUGCGCUUUGGUAUCAUUCUUUGCCGCGUGUGGUGGGGUGUCUUCUCUGGGGCCGGCCGGUCUUUCUCCCCGGGCUCCAUGGCUGGAUUGUGGAAACUGCACCCGGCUGCAGGUUGUUGAGCAACUGAUGGGACGAUCUCAAGGACCGGCGGUUACGGAAGAGUUAAACUUGUCUACACCUACAGAGAAAAGAGACCCAGAUCAUGGACAGAUGGUGAGUUUUUACACCUUUCUGUUGCUAAAUUGGAGAAAGUAGAUGCAUUGACAGACUCUUGAGUUCCGCCCUAUUGUGUCAUUUCUGCUUCUCCCAUAAGCAGCAGUGACUAAGGAAUGAAGAGAUUGUCUAAUAUGUUUUUCUCUUGGGAGUAGAUGUUUCUGCAUGAGAGAGCAUCGGGGUUCCUCCUAACAGUAUGUGUCUUAGUAGAAACUGG
rnacentral:lncRNA from 1 species